GACGGAGGGGGCAAGCGUUGUCCGGAGUUACUGGGCGUAAAGCGCACGUAGGCGGUCUGGUGCGUCGGUGCUGAAAGCGCCGGGCUUAACCCGGCGAGGCGUGCCGAUACGACCAGACUCGAGGCAGGCAGAGGGUGGCGGAAUUCCGGGUGUAGUGGUGAAAUGCGUAGAGAUGUGGAGGAACACCGAUGGCGAAGGCAGCCCCCUGGGCUAACACUGACGCUCAUGCACGAAAGCGUGGGGAGCAAACAGG
rnacentral:rRNA from 1 species